UGAGCAUUUAAGGGCAAUGACCUCUCUUCAUGAUGUGUCGUUCAAACCUGUAUGAUGUCACAAUACUAAUGAAAGAGGAAGGGCACCUCCUACUCAGGAGUUCAGUGCAACCCGAGUUACACCCAUGGAUGAAGUCACUGAAGUUGAUCCAGCUUCAUAGAACCUCAGAGAAUAGAUCUGAUUCAUCUUUCACAUACUUCUCCAAAUUUGAAGUUAGCCAUCAUGUCGAUUUGAAAUCCAUUUUCUCUUGUCCAGUAUCGCUUCGCUAUAGAAAUCUGGAUCACUUGCUACAAUUCGUGCUAUGAGGCGUCUCAUCUCAGGGGCACAAGCUGGAUUCAA